UACAGAGGUCCCAAGCGUUGUUCGGAUUCACUGGGCGUAAAGGGUGCGUAGGCGGUCGGGUAAGUCUGAUGUGAAAUCUCACAGCUUAACUGUGAAACUGCAUUGGAUACUAUCCGGCUCGAGGAAUGGAGGGGAGACUGGAAUACUUGGUGUAGCAGUGAAAUGCGUAGAUAUCGAGAGGAACACUCGUGGCGAAGGCGAGCUACUGGACAACAUCUGACGCUGAGGCUCGAAGGCUAGGGGAGCAAAAGGG
rnacentral:rRNA from 1 species